GACGAACGCUGGCGGCGUGCUUAACACAUGCAAGUCGAACGGAAAGGCCCUGCCUUUGUGGGGUGCUCGAGUGGCGAACGGGUGAGUAACACGAGAGUAACCUGACCUUGACUUUGGGAUAAGUUAAGGAAACUGAGGCGAAUACAGGAUAGGAGCUCCUGCGGCUUGGUCGGGGUUGGAAAGUUUCGGCGGUUGGGGAGGGACUCGCGGCUUAUCAGCUUGUUGGUGGGGUAGUGGCUGACCUAGGCUUUGACGGGUAGCCGGCCUGACCGGGUGACCGGCCCCAUUGGGACUGAGAUGCGGCCCAGCCUCCUACGGGAGGGAGCAGUGGGGGAAAGUGCACUAUGGGCGGAAGGCGUAUGCAGCAGCGCCGCUUGCGGGAUGACGGCCUUCGGGUUGUAAACCGCUUUCGCCUCGGAUGAAGCGGGAGUGACGGUAAUGGGUUAAGAAGCACCGGCUAACUACGUG
rnacentral:rRNA from 1 species